UGGCGGACGGGUGAGUAAUGUCUGGGAAACUGCCCGAUGGAGGGGGAUAACUACUGGAAACGGUAGCUAAUACCGCAUAACGUCGCAAGACCAAAGAGGGGGACCUUCGGGCCUCUUGCCAUCGGAUGUGCCCAGAUGGGAUUAGCUAGUGGUGGGGUAACGGCUCACCUAGGCGACGAUCCCUAGCUGGUCUGAGAGGAUGACCAGCCACACUGGAACUGAGACACGGUCCAG
rnacentral:rRNA from 1 species